rnacentral:rRNA from 1 species
UACGUAGGGUGCGAGCGUUAAUCGGAAUUACUGGGCGUAAAGCGUGCGCAGGCGGUUUUGUAAGCCAGAUGUGAAAUCCCCGGGCUUAACUCGGAACGGUCAAGUGAUACUGUCGGACUAGAGUACAGAAGGGGCAACUGGAAUUCUCGGUGUAGCGGUGAAAUGCGUAGAUAUCGAGAGGAACACCUGCGGCGAAGGCGGGUUGCUGGGCUGAUACUGACGCUGAGGCGCGAAAGCCAGGGGAGCGAACGGG